GAAAAUUGUUAGAUAUUUUUUUGUAUUUUUUUUUGUUUCCUUGGGACUAGCCAAGAGACAAAGUGAGUUUUUGCUGUUUUUGUUCUGUUGAUAAAGUCAUGAUUCAAGUCUCUUUAAUAACAGAUCCGUUUGGUAAGAGAAUUAUAGCGCUUAUUAAACCUCCUAAUAAUAUUGGUUUUCUCGGUUUAAGUUCAUUUAGUAAGUGAUACGAAAGGUCGACUGUAUAGGACUUAUAAACCUGGGGCUUACAAAGUUACAGUAGCAAUGAGAGCAUAGACGAUCCUAUUUAAUCGACGAAAUCCAACAUCAACGGUUUCCCACCAUAACGAUUAUUUUACCCAUCUUCCCGGACCUCUACCACUUGCUAACCUCAUCAAAAUAAUAUUUCGCUUCGCCUUCCUUCUCCUUCGCCUCUUUUUUUGUGACGCCAACAAGUGUGGCACUUGAUCUUUUUCUUGCCACUUGCCAGGACACUCGGAUUGUGAUUGAGUGUGUGCAACAGAGCCCGGAGCCCGAAGGCAGCAGCCCGGAGUCCGAGACCCCCAGAGAACUCAUCGCACAUGCUGACCAACGUCCGCUUGCCUUUUCUUUGGCCAUUUUCGGGGGAGUGUGAGUGAUGGAAAUUUCGAUGAUGUCCAUUCAACAAUGCCAGUUUAUUGAGGAGUCGCAAAAGGAAUUUAAUUUUGUGCGAAACUUUUCCUAGGAGCGAACCAGGACAUCGUUGUCGUCAGUAGAGCAUCAGCUGUCCCUCAAGCUACUGCUCCUGACUCUCAUGCCUUCCUUAUCCAACUGACAUUGGAUAGAUAAAACCCAAUUUGUUGCAAGUAAAAUAAAAAACAAUGCAGGCGAGCAAAUGGACAGACAGUCCAGACUUGGACUUUCCUUGUAGCAUCAUCGCCAGCAUCAGCAGCGGGGGGAACUCCAG
rnacentral:lncRNA from 1 species